AGAGACAGCAGCAGCCGCGGGAAUACGGAGGGUGCAAGCGUUAUCCGGAUUUAUUGGGUUUAAAGGGUCCGUAGGCGGAUCUGUAAGUCAGUGGUGAAAUCUCACAGCUUAACUGUGAAACUGCCAUUGAUACUGCAGGUCUUGAGUAAAUUUGAAGUGGCUGGAAUAAGUAGUGUAGCGGUGAAAUGCAUAGAUAUUACUUAGAACACCAAUUGCGAAGGCAGGUCACUAAGAUUUAACUGACGCUGAUGGACGAAAGCGUGGGGAGCAAACAGGAUUAGAUACCCCAGUAGUCCCUGUCUCUUAUAC
rnacentral:rRNA from 1 species